rnacentral:rRNA from 1 species
UACGGGGGGGGCAAGCGUUGUUCGGAAUUACUGGGCGUAAAGGGCUCGUAGGCGGCCAACUAAGUCAGACGUGAAAUCCCUCGGCUUAACCGGGGAACUGCGUCUGAUACUGGAUGGCUUGAGAUUGGGAGAGGGAUGCGGAAUUCCAGGUGUAGCGGUGAAAUGCGUAGAUAUCUGGAGGAACACCGGUGGCGAAGGCGGCAUCCUGGACCAACACCGACGCUGAGGGAGCGAAAGCCAGGGGAGCAAACGGG